GUACCGUGAGGGAAAGGUGAAAAGCACCCCGGAAGGGGAGUGAAACAGUUCCUGAAACCGUGUGCCUACAAGUAGUUAGAGCCCGUUAAUGGGUGAUAGCGUGCCUUUUGUAGAAUGAACCGGCGAGUUACGAUUUGUUGCAAGGUUAAGCGGAAAAAGCGGAGCCGUAGCGAAAGCGAGUCUGAAUAGGGCGCAUAAGUAACAGGUCGUAGACCCGAAACCAGGUGAUCUACCCAUGUCCAGGAUGAAGGUAAGGUAAUACUUACUGGAGGUCCGAACCCACGCACGUUGAAAAGUGCGGGGAUGAGGUGUGGGUAGCGGAGAAAUUCCAAUCGAACUUGGAGAUAGCUGGUUCUCUCCGAAAUAGCUUUAGGGCUAGCCUCGAGGUAAAGAGUCAUGGAGGUAGAGCACUGUUUGGACUAGGGGCCCUUCUCGGGUUACCGAAUUCAGAUAAACUCCGAAUGCCAUGUACUUAUACUCGGGAGUCAGACUGCGAGUGAUAAGAUCCGUAGUCGAAAGGGAAACAGCCCAGACCACCAGUUAAGGUCCCCAAAUAUAUGUUAAGUGGAAAAGGAUGUGGGGUUGCUUAGACAACCAGGAUGUUGGCUUAGAAGCAGCCACCAUUGAAAGAGUGCGUAAUAGCUCACUGGUCGAGUGACCCCGCGCCGAAAAUGUACCGGGGCUAAACAUAUUACCGAAACUGUGGAUGAACCUCUUUAGAGGUUCGUGGUAGGAGAGCGUUCUAAGGGCGGUGAAGUCAGACCGGAAGGACUGGUGGAGCGCUUAGAAGUGAGAAUGCCGGUAUGAGUAGCGAAAGAAGGGUGAGAAUCCCUUCCACCGAAUAUCUAAGGUUUCCUGAGGAAGGCUCGUCCGCUCAGGGUUAGUCGGGACCUAAGCCGAGGCCGAUAGGCGUAGGCGAUGGACAACAGGUAGAGAUUCCUGUACCAGUGCUAAUUGUUUAACCGAUGGGGUGACACAGAAGGAUAGGGAAUCGCACGAAUGGAAAUGUGCGUCCAAGCAGUGAGUGUGAGAAGUAGGCAAAUCCGCUUCUCGCGAAGCAUGAGCUGUGAUGGGGAAGGAAAUUAAGUACGGAAGUUCCUGAUUUCACGCUGUCAAGAAAAGCCUCUAGGAAGAGUAGUACUGCCCGUACCGCAAACCGACACAGGUAGAUGAGGAGAGAAUCCUAAGGUGAGCGAGAGAACUCUCGUUAAGGAACUCGGCAAAAUGACCCCGUAACUUCGGGAGAAGGGGUGCUCUAUUAGGGUGCAAGCCCGAGAGAGCCGCAGUGAAUAGGCCCAGGCGACUGUUUAGCAAAAACACAGGUCUCUGCAAAACCGUAAGGUGACGUAUAGGGGCUGACGCCUGCCCGGUGCUGGAAGGUUAAGAGGAGUGCUUAGCUUCGGCGAAGGUACGAAUUGAAGCCCCAGUAAACGGCGGCCGUAACUAUAACGGUCCUAAGGUAGCGAAAUUCCUUGUCGGGUAAGUUCCGACCCGCACGAAAGGCGCAACGAUCUGGGCACUGUCUCAACGAGAGACUCGGUGAAAUUAUAGUACCUGUGAAGAUGCAGGUUACCCGCGACAGGACGGAAAGACCCCGUGGAGCUUUACUGCAACCUGAUAUGGAAUGUUUGUACCGCUUGUACAGGAUAGGUAGGAGCCGAAGAGACGUGUGCGCUAGCAUACGAGGAGGCAAUGGUGGGAUACUACCCUGGCUGUAUGACCAUUCUAACCCGCCACGCUUAGCGCGUGGGGAGACAGUGUCAGGUGGGCAGUUUGACUGGGGCGGUCGCCUCCUAAAGAGUAACGGAGGCGCCCAAAGGUUCCCUC
rnacentral:rRNA from 1 species